rnacentral:rRNA from 1 species
UAUGUAGGGGGCAAGCGUUGUCCGGAAUUAUUGGGCGUAAAGAGCGCGUAGGCGGUCCGAUAAGUCGGCUGUGAAAGUCAGGGGCUCAACCCUUGAAAGCCGGCCGAUACUGUCGGACUAGAGUCCGGAAGAGGCAAGUGGAAUUCCCGGUGUAGCGGUGAAAUGCGCAGAUAUCGGGAGGAACACCAAUGGCGAAGGCAGCUUGCUGGGACGGUACUGACGCUGAGGCGCGAAAGCGUGGGGAGCAAACAGG